rnacentral:sRNA from 1 species
CUGAGGGGCAGGAGGUGGAGUGUCAUGGAAGGGUCUUUACUUCAGGGACCUGGGGGGUCCUAAGGUCUAUGGCCCCCACAGUGGCCUGGGAGCAGGCUAUGAUGGGGGCGUGAAGCCACAGAAGCCAGGUGAGCCCUGCCCCGGCCCCAGCUCUUUGUCUCCCCCUCUUUCUCUCACUCCUCACCUCACCUCAUCUGUCUCUCCAGGAUUCGUGGUCAGGCAUGGGCUGGGAACCCAGCCAGGGUUCAGGACCUUCGCAGGUGCUGCAGCCCAGCCAGGAUAUGGAAACGGGCUGGGAGCAGCGGCCUUCCCAGUGGCCGGAGCCCAGUCAGGUCCUGCCGCUCAAAAUGGCUUUGGACCAGGCUUUGGAGGGGGUGGAAAACCCCAGAAG